rnacentral:lncRNA from 10 species
GUGACCUUUCCAUGAUGCAGCGCUGCCUGGAGCUGUAGGAAGAAAAGAGUCCCCAGUGGUGGUUUGGCCCAGGAGGGAGGAACGUGAAACUGGAAACAGACCGGGAGACGUAGCCGUGCCGAUACAUGUGUGUGUUUGGGUGUCUCAAGCGGUGGUAAAGAGAGCAUGGGUUUCAAAGUGUGGUGAACCUGGUUCAAAUCCCCACUUCAGCACCUGCUGCAGUAUGAUCUAGAGAAAGUUCUGGAACCUGUUUGUUUCUCAUUGACCUAAGUUACCUGAAAGGGCUGGCACGACGCCAGUGGGCCCUGCUUCUGCUGCUGCUGCCAAUGUCCUUAUGCAAAUGGCCUCCGCCUUGUGCACUUCUGUUCCCAUCUGCAAAACAGGAGCCUUGGCCAGGGCAUUUCUAAGGCCACUUCCCUGUUUAAGCCACUUUAGCUUGAUGGAAGCGUCUCAGGUUUUAUACUCUGGAACAUUUGGAUAUAGCUGGGAAUUUCUCUCCUGGAGGAAGCAGAGGGUGAUGUUUCAGCCAGCAAUCCUGCACCCACAAGAAAGCCUGCCCCUGGUCAGCAGAACAGCAAUCAGAGAAGCUGCUUAUGAAGAUGGAGUGGCCUGUACCACAGAGCAUCGUGACUCUGGCCCGCAUCCCACUGAGCAACCCCAACUCCUCAUGGGAGUUCAUGGAAGCCACGGCCACCCAGCAUUGCCACAGCAAGAAGGCUCAGGAGGUGCAUAACUGAUCUGCAGAUGAACCCAGCACCUACUCAGGAGGAACCCAAAUGGAAUCAAGGAGUGGAACAUAAAAAUCGGUUUCUUAUGCCUCUGCACUUCACCUUUCUCCUGUUCAUCCCACUCUGCCAUCAUUGCCUGCUUGCCUCCGAAUUGCCCACGACAGUGCAGUCUGGGCACGGAUCACACCUCCCAUGCAGCGGUGGCUUUGUGAUCUGUCCACCUGGGUAAGCUGAACCACACUUCCCAGAAUUCCCUUCCCGUGUGUUUCCGGUUAGAGUGGAGCACAGAGGAGAAACUUGUGGAAGGUUUGGAGGUGGGAAGUGAAGCAGCAGUCAUUUUACAGCUCACACGAAUUGUGGCUUCUCUGCUGGCUCACCUCAGCAGAGGCAGGAACUGACAUGGGGCCGGGUGCAGUGGCUCACGCCUGUAAUCCCAACACUUUGGAGAGGCCAAGGCAGGUGGAUUGCUUGAGACCGGGAGUUCAAGACCAGCCUGGGCAACAUGGCAAAACCCUUCUCUACAAAAAAUACAAACAUUAGCCAGGUGUGGUGGCUCAUGCCUGUAGUCCUAGCUACUUGGGAGGCUGAGUUGGGAGGAUUUGCUUGAGACCAGGAAGGUCAAGGCUGCAGGGAGCUGAGAUUGGGCCAUGACACUCCAGCCUGGGCAACAGAGUGAGACCCUGUCUCAAAAAAACAAAAAAGAACUGACACAGACGGAUGUGUCUGCCUUCAAGGGCUUCCACUUGGGCUUGUCCUCCCUUACUUUAUAUCCGUCUGUCCUUCCCGAUUGUCUGCAGAGCCUGCUUAAGCAGCCCCAGUGCCAGUGACUGUGUAAGGUCAAAUUCCCACAACAAAUCUCUUCAAACAAGUACCUCUUAGUGGUUCUGCUUUUCUGAUGAAACCCUGAUGGGUACACACUCAUUUAUUCAUUCAACCAAAAAAUAUUAACUGAUAAAAAAUACUGAACACUACCAUGCACCAGAUACUAGGUGCUAGGUAGUGAAUAAAACAAAGUUCCUGCCACCAUGGUGUGAGGUGUACUGUCAUAUCCCCAAGAUAUACCCCACUGCUGAAUGAGCGUCUGAGGACCAGGUGCUGGUGCUGACUCCUCUGUUGACACCUGUGUGACUUUGGAUCAGAAUCCUUUAAUCUCUCCACAUCUAGAUUUCUUCAUUAGUAAACUGGGGUGAGCAACCUCCCAAUCUACUUCUCAUAUAAAUGCAGGUGGGGCCGGGCACGGUGGC